rnacentral:rRNA from 1 species
UACGGAGGGUGCAAGCGUUAAUCGGAAUUACUGGGCGUAAAGCGCACGUAGGCGGCUUUGUAAGUCGGAUGUGAAAGCCCUGGGCUUAACCUGGGAAUUGCAUUCGAUACUGCUUAGCUAGAGUAUGGUAGAGGGAAGUGGAAUUUCCGGUGUAGCGGUGAAAUGCGUAGAGAUCGGAAGGAACACCAGUGGCGAAGGCGACUUCCUGGGCCAAUACUGACGAUGAGGUGCGAAAGAGUGGGGAGCAAACAGG